AUACGUAGGGUCCAAGCGUUAAUCGGAAUUACUGGGCGUAAAGCGUCCGCAGGUGGCUUGAUAAGAUAGACGUGAAAUCCCGUGGGCUCAACCUAGGAAUUGCGUAUAUGACUGUCUCGCUAGAGUAGUGGGAGAGGGGGGUGGAAUUCCGCGUGUAGCAGUGAAAUGCGUAGAGAUGCGGAGGAACACCGAUGGCGAAGGCAACCCCCUGGCUUAAUACUGACACUCAUGGACGAAAGCGUGGGGAGC
rnacentral:rRNA from 1 species